rnacentral:misc_RNA from 1 species
AACGCACCUUGCGCUCUUGGGUAUUCCCAAGAGCAUGCCUGUUGGAGUGUCAUGAACCCUCUCUGACCCUCGUUUGUUUUUCAAAUGAGCGUUUAGAGGAUGUGAGCGCUUUGCUUUCGCAUGAAAGCUCGCUUGAAAUGGAGCAGUGGGCCUUGUUCAAUCAGUGAUGCCUCUCGACUCAUCGUUAUGAUUUUCAUCGAUGACGAGCAGAGUGCAGGCGCUGCGGACGUUGAAGCUCGCUUCCGAACCCCAUCAUACACAAAUCUGGCCUCCAAUCAGGUAGGACUACCCGCUGAACUUAA